CUGGGAUUUCCAGGGAGCCCUCUGUCCAAGUGCUCAAUCUGUAAAUACUGUUCUGGAGCUCAAGGUCUACUUUCGUCAACACUCCCAGAACAUGGCAGUCAACUAACUCAAGCUGACAUCAGGCCAAAUUCUGAAGAUCAAGAAUUUCCACUCUUUCCCAGAAGAGGGCAGUAGACGGUCAACUAUAUUCCAUUUUUCCAGCAACAGAAACUAGUGGAAAGGCAUGCCGCUCCCAGGACUGAGGUCAUAGGAUGAGACAUGCGUGGAUCUCCUUCAGUAAACAUUCUCCUUACGACAAAACAGCUUAGUCUCGAUCCUCCUUCUUGAGAUAUGGAUUGUCUCCUGACUUUAUGACCAUUGUUAAUCCCUUGUUCCCUUGGUAACGGUUGCUGUACAUUUGGUUUUCUGAUCUUUAUCAUUGUCGAAAGAAAUUCCUUAUAC